rnacentral:rRNA from 1 species
GACAGAGGGUGCAAACGUUGUUCGGAAUUACUGGGCGUAAAGCGCGUGUAGGCGGCAGGGCAUGUCGGAUGUGAAAUCCCGUGGCUCAACCACGGAAGUGCACCCGAAACUGCCCAGCUUGAGUCUCGGAGAGGAAGGCGGAAUGCUUGGUGUAGAGGUGAAAUUCGUAGAUAUCAAGCGGAACACCAGUGGCGAAGGCGACUACCUGGCCUGUUCUUGACGCUGAGGCGCGAAAGCUAGGGGAGCAAACGGG